AAAGUUUGAUCAUGGCUCAGAUUGAACGCUGGCGGCAGGCCUAACACAUGCAAGUCGAACGGUAACAGGAAGAAGCUUGCUUCUUUGCUGACGAGUGGCGGACGGGUGAGUAAUGUCUGGGAAACUGCCUGAUGGAGGGGGAUAACUACUGGAAACGGUAGCUAAUACCGCAUAACGUAGCAAGACCAAAGGGGGGGACCUUCGGGCCUCUUGCCAUCGGAUGUGCCCAGAUGGGAUUAGCUAGUAGGUGGGGUAACGGCUCACCUAGGCGACGAUCCCUAGCUGGUCUGAGAGGAUGACCAGCCACACUGGAACUGAGACACGGUCCAGACUCCUACGGGAGGCAGCAGUGGGGAAUAUUGCACAAUGGGCGCAAGCCUGAUGCAGCCAUGCCGCGUGUAUGAAGAAGGCCUUCGGGUUGUAAAGUACUUUCAGCGGGGAGGAAGGGAGUAAAGUUAAUACCUUUGCUCAUUGACGUUACCCGCAGAAGAAGCACCGGCUAACUCCGUGCCAGCAGCCGCGGUAAUACGGAGGGUGCAACCGUUAAUCGGAAUUACUGGGCGUAAAGCGCACGCAGGCGGUUUGUUAAGUCAGAUGUGAAAUCCCCGGGCUCAACCUGGGAACUGCAUCUGAUACUGGCAAGCUUGAGUCUCGUAGAGGGGGGUAGAAUUCCAGGUGUAGCGGUGAAAUGCGUAGAGAUCUGGAGGAAUACCGGUGGCGAAGGCGGCCCCCUGGACGAAGACUGACGCUCAGGUGCGAAAGCGUGGGGAGCAAACAGGAUUAGAUACCCUGGUAGUCCACGCCGUAAACGAUGUCGACUUGGAGGUUGUGCCCUUGAGGCGUGGCUUCCGGAGCUAACGCGUUAAGUCGACCGCCUGGGGAGUACGGCCGCAAGGUUAAAACUCAAAUGAAUUGACGGGGGCCCGCACAAGCGGUGGAGCAUGUGGUUUAAUUCGAUGCAACGCGAAGAACCUUACCUGGUCUUGACAUCCACGGAAGUUUUCAGAGAUGAGAAUGUGCCUUCGGGAACCGUGAGACAGGUGCUGCAUGGCUGUCGUCAGCUCGUGUUGUGAAAUGUUGGGUUAAGUCCCGCAACGAGCGCAACCCUUAUCCUUUGUUGCCAGCGGUCCGGCCGGGAACUCAAAGGAGACUGCCAGUGAUAAACUGGAGGAAGGUGGGGAUGACGUCAAGUCAUCAUGGCCCUUACGACCAGGGCUACACACGUGCUACAAUGGCGCAUACAAAGAGAAGCGACCUCGCGAGAGCAAGCGGACCUCAUAAAGUGCGUCGUAGUCCGGAUUGGAGUCUGCAACUCGACUCCAUGAAGUCGGAAUCGCUAGUAAUCGUGGAUCAGAAUGCCACGGUGAAUACGUUCCCGGGCCUUGUACACACCGCCCGUCACACCAUGGGAGUGGGUUGCAAAAGAAGUAGGUAGCUUAACCUUCGGGAGGGCGCUUACCACUUUGUGAUUCAUGACUGGGGUGAAGUCGAAACAAGGUA
rnacentral:rRNA from 1 species